rnacentral:tRNA from 1 species
GGCCCCGUAGCUCAGUCGGAUAGAGCGCAGGAUUCCUAAUCCUGAGGCCACGCGUUCGAAUCGCGUCGGGGUCACCA